rnacentral:rRNA from 1 species
GUCUACAGCCAUACUACCUUGAAUGUACCUAAUCUCAUCUAAUCCCAGAAGCUAAGUAGGGUCAGUUCUGGUUACUAUGUGGAUGGGAGUAAGCUAUAGAUU